CACUUACACCCAUUUUUAAAAUUACGGGGCCAACCCGAAAAUAAUCUUACUUGACGUGUGAAAUUUACUACCGUUUGCAAGUAACCAUCAACUUCAAACUUUUCGCAAACGGUUUUCCACAUCAAUUUCGUUGGUUUAUAUUUCAAGUGUUCAGCAUGCUUUUUGUCGCUUGGCAACAAGCUUGUCAGUUCUCAAGGAAUGUUGGGAAACAGAGGCGUAGUCAGGAUUUUUGGUCAAGGGGGGGCAGCAAAAAUCCAGGUGGGGCCAACAUUUUCCACAGCUUCUCUCGUAUUCUCCCAACAUUCCUCGUGUAUUAUCACACCAUAAUUUUUGGCGCUCAGUCAGUACAUAACCAUG